CAUUUCUAAGCUGGCUUCUCCAGCCCCUCUGGAGACUAAGCUGUGGUGGGGUGUCAACGAGGAGCUUGAGAAACUCAGGAAGACAGUUCCAACCAUCCAAGCUGUGCUUCUUGAUGCAGAGGAGCAGUAUUCGCAGAGUCAUCAAGUCAAAGAUUGGUUGAAUCGCUGAAGGAAUAAUUUUACGAUGCCGAUGACUUUUUAGAUGAGUUCUCCACCGAUGUUUUACUGAAGCAGAUGAUGACCAGCAACAAAAUGGUGAAGGAGAUUAUUUCCAAAAGAUUAUGAAAUUAACAUCCCAUAUUUGGUGAGCCUUUGGAUGGCACAUGGAUUUAUUAAAUCAUCAAAUUGAGAACAAAGUCUUCAAGAUACAGGCCUAAAAUAUUUCAAGGAUCUUUCGUGGAGGACCUUCUUUCAAGAAGUAAAAGAAGACGCGUUGGGCAAUUUAUGGAGAUGUAAAAUGCAUGAUUUGAUGCAUGAUCUUACCGUGCAAGUAGCAGGAGAUGAAAUUAUUUUAUUAAAUUCAAAUGCAAAGCAUGUUUAAGAAAAAACUCGACAUUUACCAAUUGAUUUUGAAGUUGAGUCGUGGCAAAAAGUUACAAGUUGCUUACCUAAUUUGUCAAAGGUGAGAACAUUUGCAUCAUUUAGUUGGUCAAAAAAGCAUGAUAUUAAAGAAAUAGAAUGUGAUGAAAUUUUUUUCAAAUUAAA